rnacentral:rRNA from 1 species
AAUAUGACCAUGCGCGCCAGCUGAUCCCAGCCAUGCUGCGUGUGUGCAGACGUCUUAUGGUAGUACAGCACUUCAGCGAGGAGGACGCUACUCUAGUUAUACCUAGGGAUAGUGGACGUUACUCGCAGAAUAGCACGGCUAACUCUGUGCCAGCAGCCGCGGUAAUACAGAGGGUGCAGCGUUAUGGGAUUUACUGGGCGUAAAGCGCGCGUAGGCGGCUAAUUAAGUCAAAUGUGAAAUCCCCGAGCUUAACUUGGGAAUUGCAUUCGAUACUGGUGAGCUAGAGUGUGGGAGAGGAUGGUAGAAUUCCAGGUGUAGCGGUGAAAUGCGUAGAGAUCUGGAGGAAUACCGAUGGCGAAGGCAGCCAUCUGGCCUCACACUGACGCUGAGGUGCGAAAGCAUGGGGAGCAAACAGGAUUAGAUACCCUGGUAGUCCAUGCCGUAAACGAUGUCUACUAGCCGUUGGGGCCUCUGAGGCUUUAGUGGCGCAGCUAACGCGAUAAGUAGACCGCCUGGGGAGUACGGUCGCAAGACUAAAACUCAAAUGAAUUGACGGGGGCCCGCACAAGCGGUGGAGCAUGUGGUUUAAUUCGAUGCAACGCGAAGAACCUUACCUGGCCUUGACAUAGUAAGAACUUUCCAGAGAUGGAUUGGUGCCUUCGGGAACUUACAUACAGGUGCUGCAUGGCUGUCGUCAGCUCGUGUCGUGAGAUGUUGGGUUAAGUCCCGCAACGAGCGCAACCCUUUUCCUUAUUUGCCAGCGAGUAAUGUCGGGAACUUUAAGGAUACUGCCAGUGACAAACUGGAGGAAGGCGGGGACGACGUCAAGU